rnacentral:rRNA from 1 species
CCUACGGGUGGCUGCAGUGGGGAAUCUUGCACAAUGGACGCAAGUCUGAUGCAGCGACGCCGCGUGGGCGACGAAGGCCUUCGGGUUGUAAAGCCCUGUGGGGCGGGACGAACACGCUCAGGUCGAACAGGCCUGGGCGCUGACGGUACCGCCUUAGCAAGCACCGGCUAACUCUGUGCCAGCAGCCGCGGUAAGACAGAGGGUGCAAACGUUGCUCGGAAUUACUGGGCGUAAAGCGCGUGUAGGCGGUCUCGCGAGUCGGGUGUGAAAGCCCG